GACGAACGCUGGCGGCGUGCCUAACACAUGCAAGUCGAACGGGGUAAGGAGAGCUUGCUUUCCUUACUUAGUGGCGAACGGGUGAGUAACGCGUGAGAAACCUGCCUCUCAGUGGGGGACAACAGUUGGAAACGACUGCUAAUACCGCAUAACACUUUAGUACCGCAUGGUACAGAAGUCAAAGCUUUAUGUGCUGAGAGAUGGUCUCGCGUCUGAUUAGCUAGAUGGCGGGUAACGGCCCACCAUGGCGACGAUCAGUAGCCGGUCUGAGAGGAUGAACGGCCACAUUGGGACUGAGAUACGGCCAAACUCCUACGGGAGGCAGCAGUGGGAAUAUUGCACAAUGGGCGAAAAGCCUGAUGCAGCGACGCCGCGUGAGUGAUGAAGUAUUCGGUAUGUAAAGCUCUAUCAGCAGGGAAGAAAAUGACGGUAACCUGACCAAGAAGACCCCGGCUAACUAACGUGCCAGCA
rnacentral:rRNA from 1 species